rnacentral:rRNA from 1 species
GCGAAAACUUUACAAUGCUGGAAACAGCGAUAAGGGGACCUCGAGUGCCAGGUUACAAAUCUGGCUGUCGUGAUGCCUAAAAAGCAUUGCAUAGCAAGGGCCGGGCAAGACCGGUGCCAGCCGCCGCGGUAACACCGGCGGCUCGAGUGGUAACCGUUAUUAUUGGGUCUAAAGGGUCUGUAGCCGGCCGGAUAAGUCUCUUGGGAAAUCUGGCAGCUUAACUGUCAGGCUUUCAGGAGAUACUGUCUGGCUCGAGGCCGGGAGAGGUGAGAGGUACUUCAGGGGUAGGGGUGAAAUCUUGUAAUCCUUGAAGGACCACCAGUGGCGAAGGCGUCUCACCAGAACGGACCUGACGGCAAGGGACGAAAGCUAGGGGCACGAACCGGAUUAGAUACCCGGGUAGUCCUAGCCGUAAACGAUACUCGCUAGGUGUCGGCAACGGUGCGACCGUUGUCGGUGCCGUAGGGAAGCCGUGAAGCGAGCCACCUGGGAAGUACGGCCGCAAGGCUGAAACU